AAAUCUCUGCAGGCAAGUGUG
rnacentral:miRNA from 1 species